ACGCAGAUAACAUGAUUCAUCAUGGCAACAGGAGAAAAAAAGGCUUGAACCUGUGAAUGCAGAAUGUGAGUAUAUAUUUAAGAAAAAAAACAAUACAGUAGCAGCAGCAAAAGAACGUGAGCUGGCGUGGCAGAAAAUUGCUGUCCGAGUCAAUGCGUGAGUAUUAAUUGAAAAAAAAGGAAAGGUUUUAUCUCGAGUGUUCCACUUAUUCAACAUUUAUAUAGUGUGUGUGUGCAAAACCUACAUGGCAGCAACUGAAGAUGGAAAAACAUAUAUAUAUACUUCAAAAACAAGUAAGGUGUAAUUUCAUUACAAGAAAUGGUGAUUUUGUUUAGCCUACCUAAUUAAACAGCAUUCAGUGGCUACAUUCAACAUGUGAUAUAUUUAAGUAGUUAGUGGAAUUUUCUAAGCAAAAAAAAAUGAACCUUUUUUUUCAGCCAUCCCAACACUGCCAGUAUUUAAUAUUGUCUAUUUGAAAGUAACACCUAAAUGCCUUUAAACAUACAAGUCUCCAAAUUUGUGCUUACUGGACAUGUUCAAAUUUCACCUCCAUUUUAGCCAACAGAAAAAAGGCUGAGGGCCAAAAAACAGGUGGGGGUCCACCAUCACACCACUCAGAGGCUGAAGAGAUGGCCCUCACUCAAAAGAGUGGACAACCUAUUGCUGAAGGCAUCUCUGGAGGAAGCUCAUCUGACCCAACCACCUCCCAGGACACAAGGGCCUACAUAAGAGCUUAGUUAUUCAAAUUAAUGAUACAUUCAUUCUUUUGUCAGUGUUACCUCAGUGAUGCCCACCCAUCCAUCUUAGACACAACUUGGCACACUGAUUUUCUUGUAGUGGAACAAUUAUUUGUUACUUUUUCAGAUUCUUAGUUGUCCUUAAGACAUUAUAAUCUAUUUUAUGGUGACUCAAGAGUUAUAUAUUUGAAAAAUUGUGAUGUAGCCUGCACACUGUUGUAAAAACUAAAUUCAAAUUAGGUGGGGCACUUUUCUGGGUAAAGUUCUAAUUUAACUGUCUAAUCUUCUUCAUCUUCUACCAGUUACUGAUGGUGUAAUCUGUCUGGUGGAGCCUUCUGCCAUAACAGACCUCCAUGCAGUUGCAUGUACUCUUAAUACUCCACAGAUUUUUCAUACUGGGUUAGAGUAGAACUCCACAAUUGUUUAUUUUCAUUACAGGAGGAUGAUGAAGACACCUUGUCAGCUGCCACAGAGAGGCAAUGAGGAAGAGGGUCCAUCCACCUCCACAGCACAACUUACCUCAGUAAGAUUGUAAGAACUUACCUCAG